UACAGAGGUCUCGAGCGUUGUUCGGAUUCAUUGGGCGUAAAGGGCGCGUAGGCGGCGGGGUAAGUCUGGUGUGAAAUCUCGGAGCUCAACUCCGAAAUUGCACUGGAUACUGCUCUGCUAGAGGGCUGGAGAGGAGAUCGGAAUUCACGGUGUAGCAGUGAAAUGCGUAGAUAUCGUAAGGAAGACCAGUGGCGAAGGCGGGUCUCUGGACAGUUCCUGACGCUGAGGCACGAAGGCCAGGGGAGCAAACGGG
rnacentral:rRNA from 1 species